ensembl:lncRNA
CAUUUGCACAGAAUAUAAAUUAGUAACUGGCAGCGGCAGCCGGUUCACUGAGAUAACAAGUUUGGCUGUAUGUUUUAGCUACUUUAAAGUCAUCCCAAUGUUUGCUUGAUUUCAAGAGAUGCUGGUGAGGAUGUAGAAACCUUAUGUUCCCAAUCUAGCAAAGUGGAGACAUAAAAUGUUCUUUCUUUCUUAUGAGAAAAUUAAUGUUUGGAGCUCAGAUGAUAAUUCUCUCUUUUCUGCCAAGGAUCAGAGGACUUCAGCUGUGAAGAGUCCUGAUGUCGUUUCAGGUACAUAUGACAACGACACUGGACACGCGUUUCUUGAAAAGGGCAGGAGACACAUUGGAGGUGGAAGUGGUGUGAAAGAGGAGGGACUUGAUACUGCAGUUUGUGUUUCACUGUGGAAACCGAAGGGCGAACGCGCUCGGCUCUGCCGGACGAACCGCUGA